CCCAGACUCCUACGGGAGGCAGCAGUGGGGAAUAUUGGGUAAUGGACGCAAGUCUGACCCAGCAACGCCGCGUGAAGGAAGAAGGCUUUCGGGUUGUAAACUUCUUUUAAGGGGGAAGAGCAGAAGACGGUACCCCUUGAAUAAGCCACGGCUAACUACGUGCCAGCAGCCGCGGUAAUACGUAGGUGGCAAGCGUUGUCCGGAUUUACUGGGUGUAAAGGGCGUGCAGCCGGGAAGACAAGUCAGAUGUGAAAUCCCGCGGCUCAACCGCGGAACUGCAUUUGAAACUGUUUUUCUUGAGUACCGGAGAGGUCAUCGGAAUUCCUUGUGUAGCGGUGAAAUGCGUAGAUAUCAGGAGGAACACCGGUGGCGAAGGCGGCCUGCUGGACUGCAACUGACGUUGAGGCCCGAAAGCGUGGGGAGCAAACAGGAUUAGAUACCCUCGUAGUA
rnacentral:rRNA from 1 species